UGGCCGCGGUAUUUUGACCGUGCGAAGGUAGCAUAAUAAAUAGUCCAUUAAUUAUGGUCUGGAAUGAAUGGUUUGACGGAAGCUAGCUUUCUUAUAAUUAUAAAUGAACUUAAAUUGUUAGUAAAAAUGCUAAUAUGUUUUAGGGGGACAAGAAGACCCUAUAGAGCUUUAUAUUAUGCUUAUAUUGUUUGGUAAGUUUAGUGAGCAGGUAUUUUGUUGGGGCGACAUUAAAUAUUAAACAUUUAAUUUUUAUUCUUUUUAAAAGGUUUAAUGAUCCAUUAAUAAUGAUUUAAGACUAAGUUACCUUAGGGAUAACAGCGUAAUUUUGUUGUAGAGUUCUUAUCGAUAACAAAGUUUGCGACCUCGAUGUUGGAUUAAAAUAUCUGUAAGGCGUAAGAGUUUUAUAAGAUGGUCUGUUCGACCGUUAAAAUUUUACA
rnacentral:rRNA from 1 species